GAAAUGCGAUACGUAAUGUGAAUUGCAGAAUUCAGUGAAUCAUCGAAUCUUUGAACGCACAUUGCGCCUUCUGGUAUUCCGGAAGGCAUGCUUGUUUGAGUAUCAGAUUAACCUCAGCUGUACACCCCUUCCCCUCCGAUAAAAAGGAUGGUGAAGGAAAGCUGGAUUUGAGCAAGUCCCAAAAUCAGAUUUUUUUUGAUAUGAGGGAUGCUUGAAAUUCAAGGUUCGGCCAGACGAUUAGGCUACAAGCAAUUUCAUACUUAAUCCUGUCAAACGGAUUAUAUCCUUUUGCUGGCAGCUAAAUCCAUCACAGGAUGAUCGUCAGUGCCUCUCGACUUGAUGCAGAAUGUUUGGAUCUCGGUCUAAACAAUCGUAACAACUCGAUCUCAAAUCAAGUAAG
rnacentral:misc_RNA from 1 species